AUCAAGGUGUCUGAAAAAAGUAAUAAAUUGUAAAUUUAUGUAUGAAUUAAAAUUCUCUUGAUA
rnacentral:tRNA from 1 species